AGUUAAGUACGUUGGCAUUUGUUUUUUUUACAAUUUUUGGUGGUAGGUAAUUUUUUCCUUUAUUCAUAAGCAAUAAUAGAGAUGACAGGAAAUGAGAGAGAGAGCGAGAAAGAACAUUUAAAAAAGGUUCCCAGUUGACAUGAAUCAUGACAUGAAUCAGGGCUGUUGCUGUAAGGUUACUUCUACUGUACCAUUAUGUUUUUCACCUGUGGAAUUUCCUGACCCCCACUGUUUUUUCACACCAACAGCAGCUGAAAUUAU